AGAACGAACGCUGACGGCAGGCUUAACACAUGCAAGUCGAACGCGUGUAGCAAUACACGAGUGGCGCACGGGUGAGUAACGCGUGGAUAUCUGCCUUUUGGUUCGGAAUAACCCCGGGAAACUGGGGCUAAUACCGGAUGGUUCCUACGGGAUAAAGAUUUAUCGCCAAAAGAUGAGUCCGCGUCCGAUUAGCUAGUUGGUGGGGUAAUGGCCUACCAAGGCGACGAUCGGUAGCUGGUCUGAGAGGACGAUCAGCCACACUGGGACUGAGACACGGCCCAGACUCCUACGGGAGGCAGCAGUGGGGAAUAUUGGACAAUGGGGGCAACCCUGAUCCAGCCAUGCCGCGUGAGUGAUGAAGGCCUUCGGGUUGUAAAGCUCUUUGGCGGGGACGAUGAUGACGGUACCGCAGAAUAAGCCCGGCUAACUCGUGCCAGCAGCCGC
rnacentral:rRNA from 1 species